rnacentral:pre_miRNA from 1 species
GCCCGGCUCCGGGUUUUGGCCCGUACGGUCCGGCCGGCCAUGCUGAUGGGGCUGGGGCCAGAGCCGAGCCCGCGG